rnacentral:rRNA from 1 species
AACGAACACUGGCGGCAGGCUUAACACAUGCAAGUCGCACGCAUCCUUCGGGGUGAGUGGCCGACGGGUGUGUAACGCGUGGGAACGUGCCCUUCAGUUCGGGAUAACCCAGGGAAACUUGGGCUAAUACCGGAUACGUACGAGAGCAGAAAGAUUUAUCGCGGAAGGAUCGGCCCGCGUUUGAUUAGCUAGUUGGUGGGGUAAUGGCCCACCAAAGCGACGAUCAGUAGCUGGUCUGAGAGGAUGAUCAGCCACAUUGGGACUGAGACACGGCCCAGACUCCUACGGGAGGCAUCAGUGGGGAAUAUUGGACAAUGGGCGCAAGCCUGAGCCAGCCAUGCCGCGUGAGUGAUGAAGGCCUUAGGGUUGUAAAGCUCUGUCGUCCGGGACGAUAAUGACGGUACCGGAAGAAGAAGCCCCGGCUAACUUCGUGCCAGCCGCCGCAGUAAGAC